rnacentral:rRNA from 1 species
UACGAAGGGGGCUAGCGUUGUUCGGAUUUACUGGGCGUAAAGCGCACGUAGGCGGUUUGUUAAGUCAGAGGUGAAAUCCCGGAGCUCAACUCCGGAACUGCCUUUGAUACUGGCAAGCUAGAGUCCGGAAGAGGUGAGUGGAACUCCUAGUGUAGAGGUGGAAUUCGUAGAUAUUAGGAAGAACACCAGUGGCGAAGGCGGCUCACUGGUCCGGUACUGACGCUGAGACGCAAAAGCGUGGGGAGCGAACAGG